rnacentral:rRNA from 1 species
GAUGAACGCUGGCGGCGUGCCUAAUACAUGCAAGUCGAACGAGGUGCUUUUUGUAGCAAUACGAGGAGUAUCCUAGUGGCGAACGGGUGAGUAACGCGUGGGUGACCUACCCAAGUGUGGAAUAACAGUCCGAAAGGAUUGCUAAUGCCGCAUGUGGUCUGCGAGUUUAGAAAUCGUUGACUAAAGGAGCAAUUCGCUUUGGGAGGGACCUGCGUCCCAUCAGCUAGUUGGUGAGGUAACGGCUCACCAAGGCUACGACGGGUAGGGGACCUGAGAGGGUGGCCCCCCACAAUGGAACUGAAACACGGUCCAUACACCUACGGGUGGCAGCAGUAGGGAAUAUUGCACAAUGGGCGAAAGCCUGAUGCAGCAACGCCGCGUUGCGCGAUGAAGGUCUUCGGAUCGUAAAGCGCUUUUUCUGAGAGAUGAGAAAGGACCAGUUAUCUCAGGGAAUAAGUCUCGGCUAACUACGUGCCAGCAGCCGCGGUU